rnacentral:rRNA from 1 species
AAUUUGAAAUCUGGCCCCUUUGGGGUCCGAGUUGUAAUUUGUAGAGAGUGCUUCGGGGGAGACCGCGGUCUAAGUCCAUUGGAACAUGGCGUCCCAGAGGGUGAGAAUCCCGUAUGUGACCGCGGCUCGAGCCCAUGUGAAGCCUCUUCGACGAGUCGAGUUGUUUGGGAAUGCAGCUCUAAAUGGGUGGUAAAUUUCAUCUAAAGCUAAAUACUGGCUGGAGACCGAUAGCGCACAAGUAGAGUGAUCGAAAGAUGAAAAGCACUUUGGAAAGAGAGUUAAACAGUACGUGAAAUUGUUGAAAGGGAAGCGCUUGCAACCAGACCUGCCCGUAGGCGAUCAACCGCUGUUCUCAGCGGUGCACUCGUUCUGCGAUCAGGCCAGCAUCGGUUCGGGCGGUCGGAUAAAGGCCUUGGGAAUGUAGCUUCUCUUCGGCGGAGUCUUAUAGCCCUCGGUGCAAUGCGGCCAGCCGGGACCGAGGACCGCGCUUCGGCUAGGAUGCUGGCGUAAUGGUUGUAAGCGACCC